ACGAACGCUGGCGGCGUGCUUAAGGUAUGCAAGUCGAACGCGCUUCGCAAGAAGUGGCGUGGCGAACGGGUGAGUAACGCGUGGGAAUCUACCUCCAAGUCGGCGAUAACUCCGAGAAAUCGGAGACAAUAACCGAUGGUCCCGAAAGGGUAAAGAUUUAUUGCUUGGAGAUGAGCCCGCGUCCCAUCAGCUAGUUGGCAGGGUAAAAGCCUACCAAGGCUAUGACGGGUAGGGGGCGUGAGAGCGUGUUCCCCCACAAUGGCACUGAGACAAGGGCCAUACACCUACGGGUGGCAGCAAUCGGGAAUCUUGCACAAUGGACGAAAGUCUGAUGCAGCGACGCCGCGUGAAUGAUGAAGGUCGAAAGAUUGUAAAAUUCUUAAUUUGCCGUAAGGCAGAGGAUUAAGCACCGGCUAACUACGU
rnacentral:rRNA from 1 species